CAAGGGGAAAAAGAGGGCAGACAUUGUUAGGAUAUAAAUAUUUAGGCCUGUCUGUAAAGGCCUAUACUCUAAGAAUUUAGGUGUAUUCUUAUCACUUACCUACUUAUAGAGGUAUAAAAGAAAGAAUAAAAAUCACUGUCUGCCAGUGUAAGGGCCUUCUCUUACUGUGA